rnacentral:lncRNA from 1 species
GUGUGUGUUCGUGAAGCUUCAGGAGCUCUCAAGAGCUCCAAACCCUAAACAUGAAAGAUCAUCCAAAUUGAAAGGCUAAAUGAUGCUUAAAUCCAUAACCGAGCAUGGAUUAAUGUUCACCAACACGAGGAGAUCAUAAGGAAUCAUAUCAAGGCAGACUCAAGCACGAAUGACUAACGGGUCAAGAGAAGGCAAGGAAGCGAAUAGGAACGCGGAUGCAUAAGGUACAUUACUGAAGCCUCACAAGAAAAUGGAUACGCAGAUGAAAUGCUUAAAGUUUGAAAAAUGACGAAUAGUGAAGUGUACGUGAAUGAAUCUUGUUUAUAUAAUGUGUGCUAAUGUAUGAAUGAAUGUGGUGAGUGCAGGUUGUACGAAUCACGGAUUAACCUCACAAGGAGUAGCGAUCGAAGACCGAGUCACAAGAUAGAUUGUAUGGGAAUGUUUACAUAUGUAAUUUAGUGAUGAUAAGUUAUGUUUUUAUAUUUAAAAUGGACUUUCAAGUAAGUCAAAAUGUUUGUAAAGGAAGAAAAUUUUAUGGCAUGAAUUUCCGCUGCGACUUUUUUGUCUAAUACAAAUUAGGGCCGUACAACAUUGUAAGAUAAACAGUGUGUAUGGAUGCCUAUAUAAUCUAUAAAACAAAAUAGAAGUCGAAACAUCGACAAUUUUGGCUAUAUAUAUGUGUGUUGU